GAAUUCUUAUCCCAAAAGCUGGAGUCUUUGAGUUUAACAAACACUAGAUAGCUUUAGUCAUUGUCUAUUGAUUGUGUCUUGUGAAGCUAACCUAUUCCACUCAUCAACUACUCUAUUUCUUAGCCAGUAUUAAAUGGUUUUGAUAACCGCUGCUUUAUAAUAUAGUUUUAGAUCUGAUACAGCUAGGCCACCUUCAUCUGCAUUUUAAAAAAUCAAUCCCCUUGAAAUUCUUGACCUUUUGUUCUUCCAGAUAAUGGUGAUAUUCUUGACAGAAUUUGGGAAGUCUGAAAGAGGUAUGGGUUUGAAAAGAAAGAUAAUGAAUUCUUUUUUGGACAUGUUGACUUUGAGAUGUCUCAAAUGGUCUUCUGAUUAUAACUAAUCUAACUUUCUCUUGCACCAUGGUACCAGGAAGAUAGAAAAUAAGUUUUCAGAAGCAAGGAUCAUUGAUGAUACUCCUUGAGCAGAGAGGAAGCUUUGCUUUAGUCUGGCACAAGCAAAUGGAAAAAGAAUUUUUACAAAUCUGCUAUAGGCAGUCAGCCAACAAGCAUUUAUUAAGUGUCUACUGUGUGAGGCACUCUGCUGGAUAUUAGAAUAAACUGCUCUGUUUCCCUUUAUGGCUCACACUAUAUGAUGGUAAGUAGAAUCUGGGGAUGGCCAUGCUAAGAUUCUAGGCCCAAGCACACAGAAGAUUUCUAUGUCAGUGAUAGGUUGAUUUGUGUAUGAAUGAGAUAAUGAAUAGGUCAGAAGAUUAAGGCCUUCUUCUCAGAAGACUCUCUGAUACCUAUUUCAUGAUAAACUUCCACUCUUCCAAUGAGGAAAAAUAACAUUAAUACACAAAAAAAUACAGAAUAUUCAUAAUGUAUACAUGCAUACAAAAUAUACAAAAUGUAAAUACAAAGGACUGAAGAACACUAAUAACCAACAACAUUAGGUAAAGUCUUGUCUUGAUGGUAGUACUUAAAUGGAAAUUUAAAGAAAGCUAGGGAUUCCAAGGGGUACAGAUGAGGCAGGAAGUAUUCCAGGUAUAAGCAAUCAUUUAUACAAUGACACAGGGAUAAAAGAAAGAACAUUGUGUAUAAAUCAAAUUUCUAGGAAUCUUUCUAUAGAACUCUAACAACACAGCAAGCUGGGAAGGUGAAUGCAUCUGAACUCUUAGACCAUCAUCACUCUGCUCCAGAGUGGCACUCAUGUCCCAACACUAUGAGUCUGAUAUGCUCUGUUUCAAUGACCUUGUCCCCUAUUUGGACCACUCACUGAAAAAAUCUUUUUUCAAAAGUCUUACCUAAACAAGAGAAGGCUUAGAGGAGACAAAGUAGCUCUCUGAAGUAUUUGAAAGACUGCCAUGUGGAAGGGAAAUGAGAUUUAUUCUUCCCCAAAGGACAGAACUAAGGACAUAGGGUGAACUUUUCAAAAAGACAAAUUUAGACUUAAAGAAUUACAGCAAAGGAUCGUAGUUUUAGAGCUAGAAGCAGCCUUUAAGAGUCAUCCAGUCAAAUCCCCUCACUUUUUAGAUGAGGAAACUGAGACCAGGAGAAAGGAAGUGAUUUGACUAUGACCCUACAGAUAAUUAAACAGUAGCUCCAGCAUUUUGAAUUCAGAUCCCAUGAUACCACAUUCAAAGUCCAGUGCCCAUUCUACUGAACCACAUCACAUAAGGAAAAGUGAAAUGUCUGAAGAGGUAGUAGGUUCCCUUCUCAAGAGAAUGGACAACCACUUGAAUAUGUUAUAGUAGGGAUUCGUUUAUGGGCAUGGGUUGGACUAGAUGAACUCUGAUUCCCUAGCAACUUAAAAGUUCUGUGGGUCUGUGAUAUGAAACUGGGAGUUGUGUAAAGACUAUACAUCCAUGCUUAUGUGAGUAUCUAGAGUCUUGUACAAAGUGGUGGUGAGAUGCCAACUUCCUAAUUUUCCACAAUACACUUGAACUUUCUAAUCACACAUCUGAGUCCUCUACCUGGACUGUAUGAAGAGAAGAGGAUCUAUGCCCCCUAAGCAGAAUAAUACCUCACAUAUCCUUUGUACUUUUAUAUUUUCCACACACUUUCCUUGAAACAAUCCUAGAAGGAUAUAGUAUAAGCAUUUUCACCCUCAUUUUCCAGAUGAUUAAAAUAACUCUCAAAGAAAUGAAGACACUUGCCCCAAAAAUGGCUUCCCAUACUGCUGGACAGCUCCUUUGUUAAUUACUGAAUAACCCUGGAUUCCCACCUAUGCAUCUAUUCAUGAAAGAAUUACUCACCUUCCAGGUUUUCCCUGCUUUCAAAGCUUUCAUCACAGAGCAUACUGCCUCUGAGAUGAAAGCCUAGCUUCUGACCUCUCUUUCCCCAGCCCCUGAGCUUUUUCUUGGCAGGUCUAAGAGAAAGGCAUGGAGGGAGCAAAAACACAACUCCCUGCAUCAGGCCAAUUUAACUGGCCCACACUCUCCCCUUUCUCGACUUUGGCUAACCUACCACUGUGACUGCCCUACCACUGCCACCACAUAUAUAGUUCAGUACCCAGCCUGUACUACGUUAGCUCAGACUACCCAAGAAUGGUGAUAGGAUGCAAAUGCAUCUCCCUACCCAUCUUCUUUCCUCCUUAUUAGAAUUGCUAACCACUGACUUGAAAUAAAGACCUUCUGUGUUUUCACUGGACUCCCAUCUCCUAUAUUGCUCUAGGAGAUCGUUGGAUGCAAAGAUUUGACCCACUUGGAGCAGUUUAUUUACAUAGGAUCAAAAUAUCCACUCUGAAUCUCAGUGAUGCACAUGCAUAUGGUGUAGAUGAUGGGUAGAUAAAGCAUGUAUAAAAUGCAAAAAUUAAAAAUCAACACAAAAAAUGUCAGCAGUCGGUGGGUUUGCUCCUUUUGAACUCGAGAAAAAGAAGGUACAUACUGUCAAGUCAAGGACUAUCAGAUCUAUUUUUUGACUGUACAUUACAAAAAAAGUAUAAUUUUUUCUUUUUUUUUUUACAAUUGCAAGUUCAUCUUAUUUAUUCUUGUAAAUGUUCUCAGACAAUGUUUGUAAUAUGGGCUGUGUUGCAAAUCUAUACAAUUAAAUCUGUGAUCCUAAGAUUCAUGUUUUCCUAGGAGAUUUGCAUUGGUGUCUUAUUGUCACUGGGGAAGGACUUGGGAAAAUGGCUUGGGAAGAAAAUCAGAGGAAUGGCCUGCAGCAUUACUAGUUUUGUUCCCUAACAGCAGC
rnacentral:lncRNA from 1 species